AUACAACAUCAAGAAAAACUUACAAAUUAUUUGUCAACUACAUUUUACAAAGAGAACUCUUAAAAUAGAACUAUUUUUGAAAUUACAUUAAUGGAUAAAAGCCCAACAAAAAUUCUUAUUGACUUUCAAAAAUUAUAAAAUUCUUUUCAAGAUACUUAAAUCAAUUCUUCUUAGUUGCAUCGGUCAAUAAGGUAAUUCGUGAAGUUUAUUAUUUUCUCUCUUAAAACCAAUAGAAUAGCAUCAAAGAAAUCCUAAAAACGAAACAAUUCCGCCCUUAACAAUCAAGGGAAUUCUGGUUGUACAUUGCUUUGAUACUUCUCCUUCCAAACAAAGCCUUAGCAGAAGCUCUAGGUUUAAAGUCUUUCUUCAGUUCCAAGCCCUAGCAGAUCUAUGGGGAAUUCGAACAUCUCAGAAGCUUCGGUUGUUGAUGAGGUCUGGAAAUGAGCUUCCAAAAAUCCAAUUUAACAUGCAGCUGAUCAAUUCCUUGAAGCAACUUGUUCACUGAAUGCUUAUUUACUGGAGAAAUUUGAAAGAUAGGUUAGUAUAUUAAAUAAAAUGGUCCUGCUUGCCUCUUUCUCCCCCUUUUAAUUCUUACUUGCAUAUUACUUUUCAUUUCAUGCUUUGCUUUGAAAUCUUCAUUCCGUGCUUUACUUAUUCCUUAAUAAUAUAUUGUUUAAGGUUACUAGUAAUGCAUCUACAAGAAUAGAGUAAGAAACAGGUUUUUCAUAUAUACUAUAUUUUUUGUGGUUUAGUGGUGAGUCAAAUGAAGUACAUACUACAUACACAAUUUGAGGUUGUUUCUGCCGAAUGAAAAUGCUACUAUUUAACAAUUUCUUCAUAAAAAAUUUAAAUCCUCGGUGAUAAAAAUCACUAAUAAAGGUUUUAGUACUAGAUGGAAAACAAAAGGUAAUAAAUUUACUUUGUUUGGAUCUUUGAACUGUGAAUCAAAGAUUGACCAACAAAUCUUCAGGGUUAUGUUAUAAUUUGUCCAUCAGAACAAAUUUUUUCACCAGGGAACAUUUUAGUCACAGGCUUGGUGUGUGAUAAUUACCGCUUGAGGAGAGUAGCAUUUGAAAUAAAUUAGGUAAACACUUCAAUUUAAUUGGCUGAUUGAAUAUUUUAAAUUUUUUAUGGAUUAAAAAGUUUAGUCUAAUAGAGUGUUCAUGAAGUUGGAAUGGGUUUUAACAGCCAAUUUCUGGGUACCCUCACAGGCUCUUUAUUUUACUUCACCAGUUAGUAUGCUAUCUGUUAAAUACCUAAGCAUUAUUUUGGUUAAAAAUAUAUACAUGGCGAGAACGAUGAUGGGAAAACAGUUAUACGACCUUUUGUAGCACUCCUCUAAGAACCCUCAAGACAGGGAAUGGAAGCGUGUUUGAGCUUUCCAUUCAAAAUUAGUCAUGGAAAAAAUAUCUUCACCAUUUAAAGUCAUGGAUGACUUUCUUAUUGCCAUUUCUUAGCUAGAUAAGUUCCAAUUCUUUAAUAAAAAUUACCUUAGGAUCAAAAUGCUAUUUGUACCAAAAUUUCAUCGUAUAAUAUUCCUGAAAAUUAAUUAUUUCAACAACUCAUAUGAAAUUCGGCUGUAUAAGAGUUGACGCUCCCCUGCAACUCCAAUACAAUUAAUUUGAGUCUUGUGACCACUUCAGCCAUUGUAGGCCGUUCAUUCGGCUGCCCACGCAAGCAUUUGUGGCAAUGAAUAUCUUUUCUUAGUACCAUUCAAAAAAAAAAAAAAAAAAUUUGUUAGUUAAUUGAAUCUACUGAAAGUUAUGUCUAUUCCAAUGCUGAGUACAGAGAGAAUCAUAGAGCAGUUUGAGUCUAAAAAGACACCAUAGCUGAAUUUGAACAUGUCUACAACUUUGAAGCCCUACCUGGUUAAGGUGUUAAAUGCAUUGAAUCUAAAAUGUUGGUGAUUAAAGGAUCCAGAAAGGUACCUUUGCAAAUAACAGAACCUCAAUAAAAUUUUCACUUCUCUCUCGCUAAAGAAUCUGAAAAUCAAAACUCAACCAUUCAUCUCAAUAGAUAUAGUAUGGCAAAACCCAAGAAAGGGUCUCUAAUAGUAGCUUCAAGUUUUCUCCUAGAGCUUAUUUGAUAAUCUUGCAAGACAUUCCCAAACUACAGUUCACAUAAGCAUUAAGAAAACUAAUGUAACUGCAUUCCCUGAUACUGAAUUUCCAAUAGCACACCAAGAGCAUAAGCCAAUUUAUCCAAAAAUACAUUAAUAGCACCAAACCAAACAUUACAAAUUGUCUCGAUCCAACAUCCAUUAUUGAAAUCACAUAAUAAUAUCCAAAAAUACUAUACCAAUCCACCCUAAAAGAUGUUAUCCAAUCUAUAUUAAGUAUUACAGGAACACAAGUUAUUCAGCGUGAGCCGGAGAGCUCCAUGUCCUGCAAAGACGAUGAAGAAUGAUGAAUGAAGUUAGUAUGUCACUCUGAUGAGAUUAACUUGUGUGAACUAUAAUUGAUGUUUUCUACUCAUCCCUGCUAUAAAGAUGAGCGAAAAACACUAAAUCGAAGAAUACUUUAAAUUUUUAUACUGUUACUUGUAGGUGAGGGAGAUGCAUAGAAUUUUUUUUGAUAUAUAUCCAUAAAAUUAUUGGUGUGUAUAUCAAGUGUAAGAGACUGCGGGGAUUACUUUACAGCAAGUUUAUAAUACUAUCAAAUAUUUACAAAGUGCUGAUAAGAACUCGGAAGGAGUAAGAUGAUGAACAAGUUGGAGAAUCCACGUAUUUGGACCCAAAUCCUCCCAGCAUGCAACCAUAUUAGUCUAUAUCAAUCUACUUGGUGAUCUUUGAAACAUGACAAGAUAUGCGAAUACAAGCCCCAAGUUCCAGACCAUACAUUGCUACAGCAAUUAUAUCAAACAUGUAGUUGUGGUGAACUAUGCAUAGUAUUUUUACUGGAUGUAAAGAAUUCUUUUAUUAAAUCAAAAGCCAUCUCGUCAAUCCUAUAGUUUUAUACAUUGUUUAGGUUGAAAAUAUAUAGAAAGAGAGUAUUUGAUUACCUCAUUCUCCAAUGCAACAUCAGCAGUUUCCUGCAGUUCCAGAGCAAGCUUGAGUACAUGCACAACAUCAGUCAUUGAAGGGCGUUCACAUCCUCUGGGAAGCAAGCAUUUCCUAGCAAUCUCCACAAAUUUCAGAAUAAACGUGGAUGGUGGUCCAAUUGGUGUUGUCGAAAACGGACAAAUCAUCACAAUGACAUUCGUAAGAGAAGAAUAUAUGUUCAUUUAUUAGAUCAGGAGAUGAAGCAGUGGAGGACGCUUGCACAUAAGGCUGAUCGAGGAGUUUUGUACAAGGUAUGUAAAAUCUGAUUUGAUGACCAUGCGAAGAGAAAGAAGAUAGAGAAGGAAAGAUGAAAAUCACAAGUGUGAAACAGGAUGGAGAGACAAAAGAGGAAGGUGCUGUAUCUUGAGAGAGAGAGAGAACGAAAGCGUCAGAUAAAGAAAUUGAAACUCGUAACUUUUUUUAAUACAAAACGUGUGUUCCCAGGGACAACAUGACCAGGAUACAGCAGAGGAUCCCAGCCCGAUUCUAACACCCAACCUUUAUAUGCACAAAACCCUCCCAUCUGGAUCUGCUGUGAAACAAGAAGCUCUAAGGUUUAAAAUCUUUCUCCACUUCCAAACCCUAGCGCAUAAAUGGUACUUCUUGCCUCUUGCUCCUCCUUUUUCAUUCAUACUACAUACACAAUUUCAGUUCGAUUUUGCCAAAUGAAAAUGUUUUUUUAACAAUUUCAUAAUUAAAAUCCUGGGGUGAUAAAAAUCACCAAUAAAGAUUUUAGAACUCGAUAGAAAACAAAAGGAAAUAAAGCUACUUUGUUUGGAUCUUUGAACUGUCACUUAAAGAUUGACCAACAAAUCUUCAGGGUUAUGUUAUGAUUUAUCAGAAUAUAUAUUUUUUUCUCAACAAAGAAAGAUGGCAUUUUAAUCAUAGGCUUGGUGACUUGGUGUGUUAUAAUUAGCAUUUGAGGAGAGUAGCAUUUGAAAUAAAUUAGGUAAACACUUCAAUUUAGGUGACAUUACCUGAAGUCAAGUCCAAGUCAAUGUGCCUCAUGAUACACACCGGUACUUUUAUUUUUUAUUUUUUAUUUUCACAAGAAACUACUUUAUUAAUUAAUCAUUUGCCUUAUGAGUAGGUGAGGCACCCUCUUUUCACUUUUUUCUUUAUUUCGGCGCCUCUUUAACUUUUUCCUUUAUUCCCUCAGAGCUUUGGAAGGAUAAUUAUUAACCUUAAAAGUUGUUUUGGAUAAUUCUAUAUGUUGUGGUAUUUUAGAGGUGAGCAGUGGAUGAAAUAAAGGAGGUAUACAAUUUGAGUUUAAUUACUAAUUAGCAUCACAAUCUUACGUACACAUUUAGUUUAAAAGGAUUUAUUUGAGUUACAAAAUGUAGGUGGGUCAAGGUGGAACACGAUAUUUAUAAAUCAUAAAGAAUAUUAAUUAGUUUGUCACUUUAUAUUCAAACAAUUAUAAUGUGAAUCAAAUUUAGUCAAAUUCAAAUUCAAUUUCUUGAUAACAUAUCAUGUUCAUGUCGUGUCAGGAUUUGUCAAAAAGAUUUUUUAAUUGUUUAAGGUCAUGGAAGCUUUGUUAUUGCCCAAUUAAGUUAAAUACAACACCUUAUACCUGUAUGGUGUUAUAAGACUGGAUAGGCACGAUUGUAAUUGUUGUCAAAAAAUCUUGAUAUGAACACAAUACGAUUAUUAUUUGUGUCGAAUUUUUUUUUAAUACAAACAUAACUCAAUUAUUAAACAGGUAACUCAAUAUGAAUAACAUGCUUAAUAAUGAGUCAAGAUUUGACACAACACAAUAGGAGACAUAUAAUUAAAAUUUUAAAUUAUUAAGUUUGCCAGAACCCUUACAAGUUCCAAUACUUAAAAAAAAAUCUCUUGCAAAAUUAUUUGUUGUAAAUGGUAAUAUGUGUCCAAAAUCAAUAAUAGUGUUUGAUUCAAAAAUGAACAACGUCUUAUUCUUAUCAAUUAAAUCAUGUGCCACAAUUCACAAACCCACACCUUCAGACCAUAUUUACCAGGAAAAAAAAAAAAUUAAUCUAAAAAAAAACAUGAACAAGCAUCAGUUGAAUCGGCGGCAGACUGAUUCUAUUAUUUAAAAAAACACUACAUGAUACCUGGUUUAAAAGAAACAAAUUAAGAAAGACAAGUGCUACAUGUUUCUUGAAUUUGCCAUUUGAUA